UACGUAGGGACCAAGCGUUGUUCGGAUUUACUGGGCGUAAAGGGCGCGUAGGCGGCGUGACAAGUCACUUGUGAAAUCUCCGGGCUUAACUCGGAACGGUCAAGUGAUACUGUCGUGCUAGAGUGCAGAAGGGGCAAUCGGAAUUCUUGGUGUAGCGGUGAAAUGCGUAGAUAUCGAGAGGAACACCUGCGGCGAAGGCGGGUAGCUGGGCCGACACUGACGCUGAGGCGCGAAAGCCAGGGGAGCGAACGGG
rnacentral:rRNA from 1 species